UCUCCGUUGGUGAACCAGCGGAGGGAUCAUUACAGAGUUAUCCAACUCCCAAACCCAUGUGAACAUAUCUCUUUGUUGCCUCGGCGCAAGCUACCCGGGACCUCGCGCCCCGGGCGGCCCGCCGGCGGACAAACCAAACUCUGUUAUCUUCGUUGAUUAUCUGAGUGUCUUCAUUUACGAAUGAAUUAAAACUUUCAACAACGGAUCUCUUGGUUCUG
rnacentral:misc_RNA from 1 species